AACGAACGCUGGCGGCAUGCCUAACACAUGCAAGUCGAACGACACCUUCGGGUCUAGUGGCGCACGGGUGCGUAACGCGUGGGAACCUGCCCUUAGGCUCGGCAUAUCUCCCCGAAUGGGGUGCUAAUACCGGAUCUUAUCUCCGAACCAAAGUUUUAUCGCCUUUGGAUGGGCCCUCGUUGGUUUAGCUAGUUGGUAGGGUAAAACCCUACCACGGCGACGUUCCAUAGCUGGUCUGCGAGGAUGAGCAGCCACACUGGGACUGGGACACGGCCCAGACUCCUACGGGAGGCAGCAGUGGGGAAUAUUGGACAAUGGGCGAAAGCCUGAUCCAGCAAGGCCGCGUGAGUGAUGAAGGCCUGAGGGUUGUAAAGCGCUUUUACCCGGGAUGAUAAUGACAGUACCGGGAGAAUAAGCGCCGGCUAACUCCGUG
rnacentral:rRNA from 1 species